rnacentral:rRNA from 1 species
AGUGAACGCUGGCGGUAGGCCUAACACAUGCAAGUCGAACGGCAGCACAGUAAGAGCUUGCUCUUACGGGUGGCGAGUGGCGGACGGGUGAGGAAUACAUCGGAAUCUACUUUUUCGUGGGGGAUAAGGUAGGGAAACUUACGCUAAUACAGCAUACGACCUACGGGUGAAAGCAGGGGAUCUUCGGACCUUGCGCGAUUGAAUGAGCCGAUGUCGGAUUAGCUAGUUGGGGGGGUAAAGGCCCACCAAGGCGAGGAUCCGUAGCUGGACUGGGAGGAUGGUCGGCCACAUUGGAACUUAGACACGGUCCAGGCUCCUACGGGAGGCAGCAGUGGGGAAUAGUGGACAAUGGUCGCAAGCCUGAUCCAGCCAUACCGCGUGGGUGAAGAAGGCCUUCGGGUCGUAAAGCCCUUUUGUUGGGAAAGAAAAGCAGCAGGUUAAUACGCCGCUGUUCUGACGGUACCCAAAGAAUAAGCACCGGCUAACUUCGUG